GAUGAACGCUGGCGGCGUGGAUAAGGCAUGCAAGUCAAACGGGCCAUCUUCGGAUGGCUAGUGGCGAACGGGUUAGUAACACGUGGGUAACGAACCCCGGAGACGGGCACAACUUGGAGAAAUCCAAGCUAAUUCCCGAAGUCCCGGACUUUCUUAAGAAAGACCGGGUAAAAGGAAGUGGCAACACAACCGCUCUGGGAUCGGUCCGCGGCCUAUUAGCUUGUUGGUGGGGUAUAAGCCUACCAAGGCUAUGACGGGUAGGAGGCAUGAGAGUGUGUUCUCCAACAAGGUCACUGAGACACGGGGCCUACACCUACGGGUGGCAGCAGUCGAGAAUAUUUGGCAAUGGGGGAAACCCUGACCAUGCGACGCCGCGUGCUCGAAGAAGCCCUUCGGGGUGUAAAGAGCUUUUCUGGAGGAUGAACCUUCGGGUGACAGUACUCCAGGAAUAAAGGGACUCUAAUCACGUGCCAGCAGAGGCGGUAAUACGUGAUCCCUAAGUGUUAUCCGGAUUUAUUGGGCGUAAAGGGUCCGUAGGCGGCCAGAUAAGUCUAAGGUUAAAUACCUAGGGCUCAACCUUAGGGAUGCCUAGAAACUAUUUGGCUAGAGGGCGUUAGAGGAGGAUGGAACGCUCGGUGUAGGGGUGAAAUCCGUUGAUAUCGAGCGGAACACCAAAAGCGAAGGCAAUCCUCUGGGGCGACCCUGACGCUGAGGGACGAAAGCGUGGGGAGAGAACGGGAUUAGAUACCCCGGUAUUCCACGCUGUAAACGAUGGGCACUGGCUAUUUGAAGUGUCGACCCUUCAAGUGGCGAAGCUAACGCGUUAAGUGUCCCGCCUGGGAAGACGUCGGCAACGAU
rnacentral:rRNA from 1 species